rnacentral:rRNA from 1 species
CCUACGGGAGGCAGCAGCGGGGAAUCUUGCGCAAUGGGCGAAAGCCUGACGCAGCGACGCCGCGUGCGGGAAGAAGGCCUUCGGGUUGUAAACCGCUUUCAGGAGGGACGAAGCUACUCGGGUGAAUAGCCCAGAGGGUGACGGUACCUCCAGAAGAAGCCCCGGCUAACUACGUGCCAGCAGCCGCGGUAAU